rnacentral:rRNA from 1 species
AUUGAACGCUGGCGGAAUGCUUUACACAUGCAAGUCGAACGGCAGCACGGGGCAACCUGGUGGCGAGUGGCGAACGGGUGAGUAAUAUAUCGGAACGUACCCAAUCGUGGGGGAUAACGUAGCGAAAGUUACGCUAAUACCGCAUACGAUCUACGGAUGAAAGCGGGGGAUCGCAAGACCUCGCGCGAAUGGAGCGGCCGAUAUCAGAUUAGGUAGUUGGUGGGGUAAAGGCUCACCAAGCCAACGAUCUGUAGCUGGUCUGAGAGGACGACCAGCCACACUGGAACUGAGACACGGUCCAGACUCCUACGGGAGGCAGCAGUGGGGAAUUUUGGACAAUGGGCGCAAGCCUGAUCCAGCCAUUCCGCGUGCAGGAUGAAGGCC